UACGGAGGGGGCUAGCGUUGUUCGGAAUUACUGGGCGUAAAGCGCACGUAGGCGGCUUUGUAAGUUAGAGGUGAAAGCCCAGGGCUUAACCCUGGAAUUGCCUUUAAGACUGCAUCGCUAGAAUCGUGGAGAGGUGAGUGGAAUUCCGAGUGUAGAGGUGAAAUUCGUAGAUAUUCGGAAGAACACCAGUGGCGAAGGCGACUCACUGGACACGUAUUGACGCUGAGGUGGCGAAAGCGUGGGGAGCAAACAGGG
rnacentral:rRNA from 1 species